UCCGGAAUGCAUACGGCCGAUAGGUUCUUUAUUAUUUUUCUGAUCCCAUAGAAGUCAUUUGAAGUUUUUCAGUAAAAAAAAGGUUUUUUCUAUAAAGACACAAUUAGUUAGGAUCUUGACCUUAUUUUUAGUAGAUUAGUUUGUAGUUCAAGCCACCCCAAUUUAUGCCUUAAUUUUAGCAAAUUGACCUGGGCAAAGCUCUCUGUUAUAUACUAUGUCAUCAAGAGAUUGGAUUAUCCUCGGAACAUCUUUUCUUCUACAUGGUAUCAGAACAGCUUCAUCAUCUAUUUAAUUUAUUGAUAUUUUCAUCUCGCAAACCUAGUAUAUUGAAUUAGCUCACCGUUUAAUUACGAUUCGCAUAGAUUGGCGUUUUUGUUCCUCGCCGCUCCUAUUGUCUCGUGCAACAACCAUUAAUAUUUCCACGGGUGUUGUGCUUCUUUCCUGUUGAUCAAUCUCUUUUAACCAUCGGUGCUGCUAAUUUCCUUUUUGUUUCACCAUCUUGUUUUUUCUUUCUUUGUCUCCCUCCGAUCCAGGUAAUUGAUUUCACUUUUAUUUUCCUUCAUCUGGUUCCCUUGAUUCGGUCUCCUUGUUGAAUUUUUUUUUGUGUUAUCGUUUGAUAGAAAAUAGUUUAAGCGCGAAUUGAGCGACAACAGACUAUUCACCCGGAUUCAAUCAUUGGAUUGUAUGUUGUUGUGUCACACUUUGACGCAUGUACUCGUUUAGUGUGGUAAGUCGUGUGUCCCGCUAUCAUCAUCCUAGUGACCUCCAACAUAGAUCUAGCAUGUGUUUCACUAGGAUGCACACACGUGUAUGCUUGGGUGUGGUGGUUUGUGUGAAAGUGCAUACUUGUAAGGGCAAACUAGGUUAUAAAUUUGAGAAGGGAUAUUUUCUUAGAUCUUAGUGGGUAUGAUUUUUGGGGAUGGGGGCCAAAGACCAGUUAGAAUGCAUAUCUCAAAUAAAAAUAAUAAAGAGUUUGUCUAAGAUUGUAUACAUCAUCUCAUAGUAAUAGACUUUAUCAACUUUUUUCAACUAGUCAAUAAUCUUAAUUAAAAUCUUCGAUAAACAAUGAAUGAAUCCUAAUUGACAUCUGUUAUAAACAAUGACUGAUUAACUUCUAAUACCUAAUAUGUUUUAAUUUUAGUCAAUUAGACUUAUAUGUUGUCUUUUUCAAUUUCAGUCUAUGUGCGGUUAUAUGGUAUGGUUAUUCACACACUAUUAGUUUAAUAAGUUGAUUUUAUCCGAAUGAUAGAUUCAAUAAAUCCUUAAUGUUUUUAGUUUGAUUUUAAUUUAUUUGUAAAUAUGACAGUGUAGAUCCACAAUUGUCGAUGGUGUGGAUUUUUGAGAAUUAAACUAAUGGAGGCAAGAAAAAAAUGAAACAAUGAGUGCCGUUGAACAAGUAAAAUAAGUAAUAACGAGGUGUCAUCGAGACCGUCGCAGUCGUAAAUGUGCCUAAAAGCGUUGCCAUUGUUGUCUAUGGGGUGUGCAUGUAUCCUGUAAAUUUAAAACCAUUGCGUUGUAAUAUAUGAGACAUGCAUAGAUCAUGUAAUUUAAAAAUAGGGUAUGCAGUCGUGUGCGGAUCAUGUAUUUUUCUUUAAAAAAGUAUUUAUAUAUAAAGUUAAUGAAUUUUCUAGUAAUUACUUGACUUUUUUUUGGAUCCUUGGAUCUAGGUUUCUGCUUGCGACACCACACCGGCGUCUUUUUCUGCGAUACCAUCAAACCGGCUAGUCUGCAUCCACCAAUAAAUCUAGCCCAUCCAUCCAACUUUGAUAUAUGUGGCAGCGUGCCGCCUGAUCCUCUCUUGCCGCCGCCAUUCUUUGUUCUUCGCAUGUACUUUUCUUUUGCGGCUGCGACUACAACCAUCCUUCGAGGAAAGGGUGAGAUUGGGGAAGGUGAGAUCAGAGGCCAGGUGAAAUGGGACCUAGAAAAAAGGUGAUAUCAAAUCUAUGACUUUUGGGAAAAUUUGUUUUGGGAAUAGAUAUCAGAUCUGUUGGUAGCAUAUAAUGUUAGAAAUUCGAUUAAAAUUUCAUUGAUAACAAAAAUCUAUUCUCUAGAUCUUUGUGGAUAUCAUGUUUAAAAGGGCUCAUUUCUACAGAUUAUAAAUUUGAUUAGAGUUACAUGUAAGAUUUGACAUCAAAUCUAUUUUCUACAUCUCUCUGCAUCUCACGUGUAAAGAAGAACCACGUUAAUAUAGUACGGAAUAUUAUGUUUCUCGACCAGCAAUAAAGUGCGAUAGAAAAGGGGUUAGAAAUUUUAUUAGAGUUAAACGUAAUGAUAGCAUUUUUUUUUGUAGAUUUGUGUGCAUCUCAACAUAGUGUUCUAUUUCUCAACCACGCAAUAAGAAGGGGAGGGUGAGAUCGGAUCUUCUGACAUGGUAGAAGGUUAGAAAUUCGAGAACUGAUAAUUCGGUCUGAGUUAGACAUAAGAUUCAUAGUAAAUUUAGUUUUAGACAGUGUCUGUGUGCCCCUCAUGCAUGUAGACAACAAGAUAUAAUUUCCAACCACGCAAGAGAUAAAGAGGACAAAUCAGAUCUUCUGACUGGAUGAAAACUUACAAAUUUGGUCCAAGUUGGACAUAAGAUGGAUAUAUCUAAUCUAUUUUCUUUCUAUCUAUGUCCAUCUCAGCCAUGUGCGGUAGCAAUACCAAACCAAAUACGACGAGUAGUGGGGUCCUGAGCUAGCUAAGCCUUGGCUAAACAUGGGAAAUCUUAAUUCCAUGAUGCCUUUCAAAUCCUCUUAGCCACUAUCCUACUGCAAUAAUUCUCGCUAAGAAGAAUGGCCAUGUUGUGGCAAUUCCACCUAGAAGGUAAUGGGGUUACUCCCACAAAAAGUCAUUGUAUAAUGCUCAAGGCUCUAAGCUGAGUAGCAGGAUCAACUUUUAAGCUAAUUUUUUUUAAAUAAUACGAUUUUUUUAAUCAUUUUAAAAAAUAAUACACGUUUUCCAAAAAUUUCAAAAAUAAUACGGCCUCGGCCUCGCCCAGGCCGAAUGGGCCCAGUCGGCCUGGCCGGAGCCGAUUAGGCCCAGUCGGCCUAGGCCAGGCCAACUGGAGGCAGGCUGCGCAGAGUGGGGGCCCCGCAAGAGGCAGUCGGCCUGGCCCAGGCCGACUGAAGCCGAGUGGGCUUCGCCCAGGCCGACUGGAGCAGUCGGUUUUGGCCAGGCUGACUGGAUGCAGUUGGUUUCACCGAACCCGAUUGGUAGUAGUAAUCAUACACGGCCGAGGCCCAUUUUUUGUCUCGAAUCCUUGCGGUUUUUUGAACUAAAAGACUUGACAACUUGGAAUAAAGUAACAUACAUCGAUAAUGUGCUGGACAAUUUUUGUGUCAAUUUCUUGCGGUGUUUUUGAACUAAAAGACUUGACAAUUUGGAUAAAUUAACAUACAUCGAUAAUGUGCUGGUUAUGGAACCAAGGCACGACUAAAUUAACAUACAUCUAUAAUACCGCAAUUGGACAGAAUUAAAGAUAGCAAAUACAAUUGAAACACAGUACAAGCACUACUGAGUCCACUUAGGCCAUUUUCCGCUCGUCUCGCCACGUUCUUCUGCAGCUUUUGCCACAGCGGCCCUUUCUCUUUGCCUCUCCCUUUCUGCCUCACGAGCAUCCUUGCGCCUUCGUUCCUCAUCUUGCAUCUCAAGCGCUUUCUCCAUGUUUUUCCUUAGUGCUUCGUCAAUCCAACGACAUUGUUCCUCCCUAUGCUCUUUCAGCUCUCUCUCUUGCUCCUCUUUCUCUUGGGCUGCAGCUUUUUCCGCACGCUCCUCCGCGUGGAAACGCUGCCAUGCAUUUCGGGAUCUUGUUUUAAUCUCUUCCACCGCCCAAUCCGGCAUCUCCGUGUCAAUCCAACGAUACCACAUGCAUAGCGGCGGAGGCGACUACAAAAAAGCUUACUGUUACAAAUCUAAUAUGACACAGAAAACAUGUUUUAGAACACGUAAAUGUGCUUACCGGAGGCUUGUCGUACGGCGAAACCAGGAUAGGUGGUUCAUACUCAUAGUUCGCGCACAUGAAAAACUUCAUGCCCAGCUUAUCUGAAAAAUCUGUCACCUCCUUCACCUUGCAUAGAUUGCUGCACCAACACCUGCGAUGUUCCACCCCCGGAGGUAACAUCGCUUCUUUCAUCUUCCUCGGCCUCUCGCCCUGGUCGGAGCAAGGCAAACUCAUUGGGGGACACUGGAAUAUUGGAAAAAAACAGUAGUGAGAAGGAUGCUUGGAUAACUACCGGAGAUGAGGUAUUUAUAGGCUCUCAAACUCAUUCUCCCGCCACCUUUUCCCGCCAGCGUUUUCCGACACCGUUUCCCGCCUAUUUGUAUCUUCUGUAACUAUAAAAGACCGUCCAUGGUAUUGAAGUGUAGUCCACCAUUUCGCCUGGGAAGAUGUCGUCCGGCUUCACAGAUGAUCGUAGAUUUUGGUCAGGUAUGUCCCGUGAGCUAUUGUGGUUAGCCGAUGAUUUCAAGAUAGACAAUAGGAUAGUUCCAUGGGACGAACUCAUUAGUACUGACACCCUACUAACUGAGCUGGGCCACCAAUUAAGAAGGUGCAAUUUCCCAUUGAAGACUUCUGCAGAGAUACGACAAAAACUGCUAAUGUUGCAUGAAAGGUGGAAGAAGCACAGUGAAAGUAAGAGUGAGUCAUACCUACAAUGGGCUAAAAAACAUCCAUUGUUAUGGGUUGAAGAGGAGGAAUCCGAUGAAGAUAUCUUCAUGCCAAGCAAAACGGGUAAGAGUUCUUCAUCGUCCAAGGGGAAGAGUACUACACCGUCGAAGCGAAAGCACACAUCAUCGUCCAAGGGGAAGAGUACAUCAUCGUCCGAUGAAGAUAUCUUCAUGCCAAGCAAAACAGGUAAGAGUUCUUCAUCGUCCAAGGGGAAGAGUACUGCACCGUCGAAGGGAAAGAGCACAUCAUCGUCUAAGGGCAAGAGCACUUCAUCUUCGUAGGGCUAGAGUUAGGUUAUAUUAUUUUAAGUUGUCGGUUUUAAUUUCAGUCUUUCUAUUGCAUAUGUAUUCCAGUCCUACCGUUUUUUAUUUGCAAAUGUAACUUGAAUAAGAAUGCGAAAAAUGGUAACAUGUCUCUCUCAUACAUAGGUAGAAAUAUGUCUCAUACAUAGGUAGAAAUAUGUCUCAUACAUAAAUAGAAAUAUGUCUCAUACAUAGAUAGAAAUAUGUCUCAUACAUAGGUAAAAAUAUGUCUCAUACAUAGGUCCUACAUGCAAAUAUCAGGCACGGCGUCUGGGACGGCGUUCCGGGGGUGCCUGUGGCGUGGUCCAGCCAUACCUAUGAGGUGGCAUAAUGUUGCGCGGAGGAAUCACGGACCCAUCCUCGCGAUACUGUGUAUCCUCCUGUGUGGGGUCUGGUGGCGGAGUAUUGAACAUCCAACUGUGUUGGACAGAAUAGUUCUCUCCUUGAGCGUGAUCCUGCUCACUACCCCACGAGGGUUCGGACAACGACGACUGAUGCCCGUAGGCUCCUGCAUGUGGGAAAGUAUUUAGCAUUAGAAUUGUGUACCAGUCAUGAUAAUGAACACAAUAGAUAGAAAUAUACAUACCCUGUGGCUGGGUCUGUCAACGAAACUUAAAGUUCAUCGUAGGACUCUGCUGGUGCUGUCACGCCGAACCUCCAGCCUGAAAAGAGGGGGGCCGCUGGUCCCACGCCGAACCUCUAGCCUGAAAAGAGGACUGCUGCUGGUGCCAAUAGUCGAAAGAAGACUGCGGCUGGUGCCAUGACGAACCUUCGGCCUGCUCAGGAGGUGGUGGCCUGGGCGUCGACUGCUGUGGUAGACGUGGACGCGGGUGGUGUCGGAGGUGCGGUGCUUCCUGCUAACGUGGCCGCUGCUGUUGCGUGGAGGGACGCGGGGGCCGUACGGAUGCCUGGUGGUGAACAACGUCCGAAGUGCGGUUGCACGUGAUAGCCGCGUAAACAGAGCGUAGCUUCUCCUCCAUUCGUCUUAGCCAGGACUGGUGCGGCUCUCGUGGUAGUAGAAGUGGACCGGUCAAAAGCGAACGUCCAUACGCAGCGAACUCGGCCUGUAAAUCCUGUGUCAACUGAGCCUGCAAUUGGCACGAAUAGUAUUACAUAUAUAUGGCAAAGUACGUAACAAACACAUGCAUUAUGUUAAGCGAAAAUACUUACCGCGUGCUGUCUAGAGCCUGAAGUAGACUGGCUAGGGUACAUAUCUUGCAAACUCGGCUCGGCUAUCUUCUGGGGAUGAGAGUGUUGAAUGAUGCUCAAUCGGGUAGCUGUCAUGUACCUCUGCAAAUAGCCGUGGAAUAGAUCGAGAUCAAAGGCCUCCAAUGGCCAAACCCGUGUCGUCGUAGUCUCCCACCCUGUGACGUACGACUGAACCCUCUGCAGCCACUGAGUCUGGGUCCUGGUACUUCCCUUCCUGGUAAACCUGAGAUCGCAAUAGAAAGUUGAACAAUUAAAUUAUGGACAAUUCUGGCCGACAAUCAUAAAUUGUAGAACUACACAUACCUGUGGACGAUCUGUGGAAGUGGAUCCUCCGUCGGUGGAGGAACGACCAACUGGCGUGCCCCAAACUACCUCAUGACCCUCUGCUGGGCCAUCUCCUCCACGCAGACAUCAAAGAUGAUCUUUGAUUUGGUCAUCCAGUAAGGGUAAUCUCUCGUGCCGACCGUGGACAUCCCGCCAGGGUAUCUAACAUCGAUGGCGUCCUGUGUGUACAGCUCCCAGACAACCGCCUCGGAGUGCAACACGUCAAACUGCUCGUUGAAUGAUGGGUAGUAAUUCCUGACCUGAUCGUGUGCAAAGCGUCUCUGUAAAAAAAAGAAGUUAGCUUCAUUCAUGGUUUAUGUAAACUAAUGUAUAAAUUUCACAUUCGACAUACCUUGUUACGUGUCCAAAUUGUCGCGAAAGUAGGCAGGUCGAUGUGUUCUAAGUCAAACAACUCCUACUCAGGGUUAGGGUGAUAAACCGUAACGUCUGGUCGGCCGAUAGAAAACCUCUCCCACGACCAGAGCUGCAAGAAUAAAGAACAUCCAAGCAGGGCUGACUUGGGUGACGCAAGCUGACAAGCGUUGCACAUACCCUCCUGCCAAUCAGCUGGUCUGUGAGCCUCCGAGGUGAGUGGCCCAGCUCCGGCAAAAAUACCUUGAAAACGUAGUGCCAUACCCUCCUGCCAAUCAGCUGGUGCCUGCAACGUUCCUAUGGGAUCACCCACCAAUGGUAGUCCCAGCAGCAUCAACACAUCCUGGAGAGUAGGAGCCAUCUCUCCCCAGCGAAAGUGAAACGUGUGUGUCUCGGGCCUCCAUCUAUCCACUAAGCAGCUCAGCAGCGGGUGGUCAAUUUGUAGCCGUGUAGAGUUGAAGCCUCGUCUCUCGUCCUCUACCAUUUCCUCACGAGUUGCCUCAACAAGUCGUGCGAAAGGUAAAUGCCAGCCCACUUCAAACUGCAAAAAUAAAAUGGACAUGUAAGGGAUGAAUAAAUAAAAUGGACAUGCAAGGGAUGAAUGAAUAAAUACCGUUGAAUCCAGUCAGGGUGUAUCAUCCAAUUUUCCUUAGGAGUGCGCGUGACAAGGACAAGGGGCAUAGAAAACAUAGUUGAACAAAGCGUACACAUUAACACAUAGUUCCACAUAGAGUACAAAUUAAAAUAUAGGGCACAAAUUAACAUAUAGUUUCACAUAGAGUACAAAAUAAAACUUAGUUCCACAUAGAGUACAAAUUAAAACAUACAGUACAAAUUAAAACAUAGAGAGUAUAAAUUAACACAUAGUUUCACAUAGAGUACAAAUUAUAACAUAGUUCCCCACAGAGUACAAAUAAAAACAUAGAGUACAAAUUAACACAUAGUUUCACAUAGAGUACAUAUUAAGGCCAUAGUCUAGUUUCUUCCUCUCCCUCCUCAUCCACGUCUCCCUCUUCCAUGGACAGUAGUUCCGCCAGUAUCGAAAGUUGGACAAUAAGUGUCUCUAUGGCCAAAAUGGUUGCAUAGAAAACAUUGUCGUGAAGGUCCUCCGGCUUCAGAUUCAUCCAUAUCAUUUCGGAUGCGCCUGGACGGGCGUCUGCCUGUGCCUGUCUGCAGUAGCCCGGGGUCAGGGAUGUAUCGCCUUUCACCAGGGGUUACCUUGUUGAAAUUGCCCAUUGCACGAAACCCUCACGUCUCACCCGUCCAUGUACUAAGCACAGACUCUUUCAGGUAAUAGGGAGACACAAAUGAGAUUGCGUCCAUCCCUACCUGCGCGCAAGCAGCAAGUACAUGUGAGCAAGGAAGGUGAAGCAACGUUGGUUUGUUGCAGGUGCACUCACACGUUGGCCACGCUUCAUUUCCAAUCUUCACCUCAUGUGUCCUCAAUUCAUUUUCACAACCGAACUUGUCAGUUGACAAGCGCACCUCAAACCCAUGUUCUUGAUUACCGAUGGCGACGACAGUAUGAGACCUAGCUUUUUCCAUUUUCUCAUCCAUGUACUUCAUAAUCUUUUCACAGUACCGUGUAUUUGGGUUGUUCAUGAUAUGCAUUUCAGCUCUCUGGCGUCUAUCUCUAAAAUACUUCACCGUGCCAUGGAAAAUACCCUCGACGAUGGCUGUAAGUGGUAAAGCCCUAUUUCCCCUUAGGACAAAGUCGCAUGUUUCUGCCAGGUUAGUAGUCAUGACGCCAUACCUAGCGCCAUGUGUGUCGUGCAGCAAAGACCACCGCUCCAGAGGCUCGUGCUCUAUCCACUGCUGAAAGUUUUUAAUCUGCCUCCCAACCCUCUCCUAGUGCCGGGUGGGUCAAACCCUGGCAAGUCACAAAGCCCAACAGGUUCUUCCUCAGCUGGUCCUGUUCCAACUGUUGUCUGUGCAGCCACUGCUGCUACAUGUGCUGCUACUCAGUUGGAUACUCUGGGUGCAGGAAGUGUUGGAUGUCGACAUAGGUGCCUGGAUUACGGGCUUGCAGUGUACGGAGGAGGCGGACAACAGAGUCGUACGAAUCGAAAAACGAACCAAAUCUUUCCUCGAAAGCCCUCUGCUUAGCCCUCCAAGCCUUGCCAUACGAAAUGUUGUACUUAAACCUUACCCUGACCUUAUGCAUGAUGGCCUUCACUUCCAUUGCUUUGCUCUCCACUAUCUCUGUGUAAAGCAACCGAGCAAGAAGCGUCGACGAUAGGUUACGAUGGUCUUGAGGGAUACUGGGAAUGACACAUGUGUGCAACACCAAGUCACUCACAACCCAAUCUGUGUCAUACUUAAGAACAUAGCCAUGCACCCUCCCGGGACAAUCUAUUUGUUCGCACUCCAUUGUCAGAUAUUUUUGUGAAGAGACUGUUGUUUUGAAAACCCUUUGCGUGGACAUUGCCCAAGCAAUUAUUGCAUCCUGCAGAUGUUUCUUGUUAGGAAAUCUAGCACCCUUCGCAAUGUUGUUCUGAUGAUAUUGCCAUGCAGAGUCGUGCCCAUCGUUCACGGUCAUAGCUGAAGAGAAGUCCUGAUUCCAUGAUGCAGGAAUCGGCACUUCCUCUUCGUCCGACUCAUGAGACUCAUCGUCAUAAGAACUACGACCAUUUAUAUAUUCAUCCUCCAUCUGGUUCUGCAAGUGACCAUCUUCUUCGUCCGCAUCUGCCUCGCCAGUGUACUCAUCCUCUCCUACUGCCUCGGAGCUCUGGCCUGAUUCAUAACCACCACCUCCAGCAUUCGACACAGAGUUUGCAUUGGACAAGUCAUAACUUGAUUCACCCUCGCCUUCAGCUGGAUUGGUCUCAUGAGCAACAACCUGGAUUAAGGCGACAGGUGUAGUUCCCCUUUUCUCGCAACUUUCUAACCAGCGCACCCACUUUGAUGUCCGGUCUAACGGCCUCAAAACCCAGAAAAUAUUUGAACUUGACUUGGUCCACAAUACUUGCACAUGGACGGUUUAUGUUUCAGGAUUGAGCGCUAAACAUCCUACCAACCAUUCCUGCAACUGACUAAACGUCCAUGUUUGAGGGGCCGUUAGAUCCAACUCCACAUAUUAGACUGACUAAACGUCCAUGUUUGAGGGGCCGUUAAACUGACUCAGAUCAGCUCCGUGCUCAGUUGUUAAGACAGUACCGGAACCGUAGUAAAAAACAAACUUUGCUAAACCGCACAUCUCUGAUGCCUAAAAAAAUGUUUAGACGCGUCAAAUACUAAGCAGUACGGCAUAUAAAAAAUAUUAAGACGCGUCAAAUACUAAGCAGUACGGCAUAUUAAAAAUAUUAAUACGCGACAAAUACUAAACAAUACGGCAUAUUAGCGUCAAAUACUAAACAGUACGGCAUAAAUAAAAUCUAGCCCAUCAAAACAUAUUACUACCGACCAUACUAUUUAGGCGCGUCAAAUACUAAGCAGUACGCCAGAUUUAAAAUAUUAAUACGUGUCAAAUACUAAAUAGUAUGGCAUCAAAAAAAAUCUAGUCUAUCAAAACAUAUUACUACCGGCCAUAAUAUUUAGACGCAUCAAAUACUAAGCAGUAUGACAUUAACCGUUGUCCAAAACAAUAAGCACUACCAAACGCUAAAACAUACUUUUAUAUAUACAUACACACAUAUCCUCAUAAACAUAUACGUUAUAGGAUAAAUACGUGAGAGAUUAGGAUUUACCCUUGAAGCGUGUGAACCCCAACCUCGAGCAGCCUCACAGUCACCGGAUGAGCACCACCACCACCUCCAAACUCCUCCAAACCACCACCAUUGCUCCAACUUUGCACCACAAAAUUAGCUCUACAUAGCCUAUGAAAACAGUAGAUCGAGGUGUCUUUGGGUGCCAACUAGAUAGGGGAUGCGAUUUUGUGGGUUAAAUGGGAUCAAAAUGCACUAAUUUGGGCUAGAAAAUUGGGGCAUUUGAGGAGAAAAGGAAGAACAGAGAAGAAACGAGGAGGAAGAAGAAGGGGGCUCAGGCGAGCAGUCUGGCUGGGCUCGGUCGGGCACGGGAGGAUGGGAAGGGAGAAGGGAAAGGGAAAAAAGGAAAAGAUUCCCCCGCGGCCCACCAGGCCCCUUUCGGCCACGGCUAGGCCGAGUGGCCAGUCGGCCCUGGCUAGGCCGACUGGGCUCAGUCGGUCUGGGCCAAGCCGAGCGCCUCGUGGGGGCCCUAGGCACUGAGCAGCCGGCUUGCAGUCGGCCUGGCCGAGGCCGACUGGGCCUAAUCGGCUUGGGCCAGGCCGACUGGGCCCAUUCGGCCUGGGCAAGGCCGAGGCCGAAUUAUUUUUGAUAUUUUUGAAAAACGCGUAUUAUUUUUGAAAAUGAUAAAAAAAUCCUAUUAUUUAAAAAAAUAGCAACUUUUAAUUUAUUAUGAGCCCAAAGGAUAGAUUCAAUAAGUUCUUGCCAAUAACCACAACCGCUGAAUAAAAACAUUAAACUGAAAGCCCAGACAAAAUGAGUACCUAAGAAAAAAGAGGUCAACUGAAAUAUAUUUCAAGUAAUUUUUGGUCAAAAUAAAUGAAAUAGUCUUAUAUUUUGGAACGAAGUGAGUUUUUUUUUCUCCACCAGGCAUGCGGGCAAUUUGAAAAAAAAAAGUCAUUUGUUCCUUAUAUCCACGGUGGCAAGGUUUUUCAUUAAAUAGUAUUGUAAUCGAAAAAUAUUAAAUGUGGUAACUGAGCUGCCAUGGAUCGAAGCUAUUUCAUCUCCCCUGUUUUCUCCGUUGUAAGCAUAUCAUCACUCCCACUGCAUAAAAUCGUUUCCAUUUGGAGACAGGCGCGGGAGAGGAAAGGGGAGAGGCACUUGCUUCAAGAGUUCUAUUGAAGCAAUAAUUCUUGUAAUCGGCUCCAGUAUACUCCGGAUCCAGCCACCGCGGAGGAGUUAGGUAUUCUCUUCUUCUUUCCCUGAGAUUUGUUCUAGGUUUUUUUUAUCAGAAAGACAUACUUAUGCACAGAUCCGUUCUUGUAGUCUAGCUAUGCUUUGCUUAGAUUUACACGCUUGUUGAUGGUAAUCUAGAACUCAUAGCACUCGUUGAUUGGUGCUUUGCUUAAAUUUACACGCUUGCUGAUGGUAAUUUCGAACUCGUAGCACUUAUUGAUUGGUGGAUUUGUUUAGUUCGUCGAUUGAUGUGUUGGAAUCGUGGAGAUCAGUAGUUAUCGGAUGGAUUCAGUCAGGAUUUGGGGAAGGAAUAUCUAGGUGAGGAAAGGGGAAAUCUGUGCUAUCGUGGGGAUUUAAUGGGAUGGGGAAUUUGUGUACUUCACAUAAUCGACUAAUCGUGGGGACUUUGUGUAUUUCACACAAUCGACUAAUCACGAUGUCGGCCCCAUAUCUGCAAACCUGCAGGGAAGGCAAGAUCUUCCUACUUGCAAUUCUAGCUCUCCUCAACAACAAACCCUAGAUCGAUAACAGAAGAGCCUAUUUAGCCUCCGCUUCAAAUCUCUUCGUCGCACAAUGUUCACCAAGGUGCGGU
rnacentral:lncRNA from 1 species